rnacentral:misc_RNA from 1 species
AAAAGCUUGUUUAUUUUUAUUGAUUUGAAAGCAAAAAACCGCCGAAUACGCAUGCUAUAGCUAUUCACUUUCAUCAGUCGUCGCUAGAUGGAAGGUUAGCAUAUCUGGAGGGCGGAGUGCCGGAGUCACGGCUGUCAUGGCGGAGUGCAAUGUGAGUGCAUGAUGAAGAGCAGAUUUUUUAAUGGCUAUAAUUUUUGUAAUGUAAUUCAUAGAUGGGGAAAGAAACUUCCACUCAAAAGAAAGAAAUGCUGGGUUGAAGUUGAUGAUGCAAAAUUUUCAUGUUUCCAUGUUAGUUAAAAAGCAUUAGCAGAAUAUAAAUCUUUGGCUUGUCACAUCAGCAGAUAAUCCCAAACCCAGGGAAGAAGUCUAGAACAAGUGGCUAAAGCAGACACACUCUUCCAAUGUGUUCAACAGGAUCAGAAGUUAAACUUUCAUCAAUGAUGCCAAGCUUCUAAGGACUUAAAAAAACGGUUUCUCAUUUCACAGUCAUGGUGAUCCCAAAGAAGAUGACCAUUGAAGUUCUAGUUCUCUAUGCAGAGACAAAACGAUAGUUGGCUGAAAACAAUGGAUGUACAUGGCUCAUUUUAUCAUCACUCUGGGUGGUGGACGUGUUAUAAAAUUUUUUCCACAAGAAUGCAGUCAACUAUUAUCAAAUCAAUUGCAAGAUGACCUUCUUUUUACUCCUAUCAUUUGGGGUUUAUUGUGACGCACUGACAGGUGGAUAGUGGCAGCAUAGUUUGAAACAGGGAUCCAUUCUUUCGUAGAGGCUAAAGCAUUUGACAGUAGCUAUCCAAAAAAAUCAUCUUUUGUGUAUUACGUUUCGGAUGGUUUCAAUUCGAACUAGCCCGGCGCAUCAGUGGGCCUUCUCCGACAAACCCAGAUUAAAUCAGAUGAGAUAUCUGGCGGUGACCGUAGAACAGGAUGCAUAUUCGGAAGUCAGCACAUCAAGAAUCGGAAACGUUGGUUCUUCGUUGCCAACGUCAGCCGCCUUAACUGAUCGUUGCUACCUGGACACUUCCCGACUCUUCACUCGCUUCGACGACGACAAAGAAUUUUUCCGGUUCCAAAUUUUAUGGUGCGAAAUUUCGUCGGUGGACCACACAUAUUGAGUCAUCGUUGAUAUGAUGCCUUUGUCUAUAAUAGUGAAGCAGAAGCGAUAACUGGGAGCAGCUGCCGAAUGAUUCUGGAACCACGAACUUACUUUUUAAAACAUUUCUUGUUUACAGCGCUAGAUGGCUAUAUCCUUAGUGAUGGAUCUCCAGUUCAACAGCAACUGUCGAAUGUUCCUGGAACUACGAACUUACUCGUCCGUUUGGUGCUCCGAUUCGCCAAUUAUUUGUUUGGUCGUUUGCAUCGUCACCGACUCCAACAUGACCGCAAUGAACCGAAACUAGGACGCUAUUUUGUUGCCGGGAGUAAUCAAAGAUAUCCUAUCGGUGCUGGAUCGUGGAUCGAAUCAUUCGUUCGGCUGAAGAAUAUCUCGAUUUUCUCGGAUGACCUGGCGCAAAAACUCACAGAUCUCGUCCGGGAUCAACUCGCUUAUUCAAUCCCGCCAUUUUGGGAUCAAAGAAAACUUUUACUCCUGAGCUGAAUUUCGUCCACCAUUCAACAACGGAUGCCACUGCUUCCAGUCAAUCUGCUGGACCGUAUUCCGGCUUAAAAGAUUCAUUUCAGAUUUUGUGAUUGCUUGAAAUUGCCAUGAACUUGUUUGUUUUUGUUUGUUUUCUGCAAUUCUUCUUGUUGUAGAUCGCCUAGACUAGCAUAUCUGAGUAAGUGUCUUAACAGUUUGCGUAUUGGCCUAGCCGAAGGUACUGGAGAAAGUAUGAUUGGCACCGAUCUUGUGCCCAUGGCCAGUUUUAGUGAUGGUAAGUCAGAGAACGUUUCCGUAAUUGUUGUCACAGAAGGAGUGAUUUAUGACUCCGGCUCUUUUAGUUAAAUUCCGUGUCAGAAACAAAAAGGUUUUCCAUUCAGGGUUCCCCAUCUGUCAUACCGGUAACAGCAGUAGUUAACGGCGUACAACGAAUUUUUUAUAUCAAGGAUUUUUCAUUUAAAUGCUACAGUGCAUAAAUGUUAGUAUUUGUUUUUGUAAGAGUUGAUAGGGGAAGUAUUGGGUUAGUACAUGCAUGGUGUUAUUUAUUGAAUAUACAUGGGAAACAUUGGGAGGCAAUAGAGGGGGGGACAUGUGGAAGGAGUAGGAAAAAAGGGGGCCUUUCUUAUCAUAACUAGGCGCCGCAACCAUGACACAGUGGUCCAACAUCCAAUUUGAUAAAUCUCGGGAAUUUCAUCGGAUCCUUUGAAGGGUUGGCUGAGAAUGCUGUGGAAUGUUUCAAUUUAGGCAACACAGGAGGUAGCGUAGCUAUUGGUUAUAGCUCCAAAUUGUCACGAGCUUUGUUUAUGAAUCUGGUCAGAAAAUGGAAGACUAAGAGGGUCGGAAGCAGAAGGUGCAUAGAACUCCGUGGUAUCGUCCAGAAAAAUGUGAAUAUAUUAAAAAAAAAAGUGUUAAGUUAAAAUUUUAUUUUUCAACAUUUUUACAUACAUUACCAUGACUAUUUAUAAUUGCGUAUCUAAGAGGACGUAACAUAGAGUGUUUAAGGAUUGAUCUACAGUAGCGUUGGUAGUUGUAAGGGGUACUCGUGAGGUCGUGACUAUUUCUUUCAGUCUUCAUUAUGCAGUGUUGUGUUGGCAAUGGAGGAGUAUGUUUGUCAGACUUGUGUUUUAGUCAUCCGUGUGGACAAUCGGUUUGACUGAGUGUUUGCUUGUCAAGGUUGUUUUUAGACCCUGAUGCCCUGAACUCUUGCUUUUAUAUGGCAGUAUAAAACUAAACCAAUAAAUGUGUAAUU